rnacentral:rRNA from 1 species
UACAGAGACUGCAAGCGUUAUUCGGAUUCACUGGGCGUAAAGGGUGCGCAGGCGGUCGGGUGUGUCAGAUGUGAAAUCCCGAGGCUCAACCUCGGAACUGCGUCUGAAACUACUCGACUAGAGUACUGGAGAGGGUAACGGAAUUCACGGUGUAGCAGUGAAAUGCGUAGAUAUCGGGAGGAACACCAGAGGCGAAGGCGGUUACCUGGACAGUUACUGACGCUCAGGCACGAAAGCAUGGGGAGCAAAAGGG